GGGGAUGACAGGCUUCGAUGGAGAGAGAGCUAAGAUAAGCAAGCCGAGCUUCUCGAAUCUCGUUAAACUUUGAGAAAUCAAAAAUAAGUGACAACUUAUUCGCAAGCCCAAAGCUUGCUCCUGCUUUCGCCUAAUAGCUUAAGCCGUCCUCUUACCCAUUCUCGGCAAGUAAUGUAGGGCGUAAAAAUCCGAGAUCGGCAAUUGUUUCGCUCUAAACAGUUGCUCAAACAUUAAGAGCUAGGAGUAUUAAAUUUUUGUUUAUUUUAUAUUUAAUAUUUCCGAAAAAAAUAAAUAGACUAAGCUUGUAGAUCUAUCUUAGGACAACUCUUCAGACGCGGGUUCGAUCCCGCCUUCUCCACAA
rnacentral:tmRNA from 1 species